rnacentral:rRNA from 1 species
AAACAUUUCUGGGGGGAGAUGUUUUUAGUAUAACCUGCUCAAUGCGUUAAUAGCUGCAGUAUUUUGACUGUACAAAGGUAGCAUAAUCAUUAGUCUUUUGAUUGAAGGCUGGAAUGAAUGGUUGAACAGAAAAUUUUUAACUGUAAGUUAAUUUAAAGUAUAUGUAAAAAUGCAUAUUUAUUUUAAAGGGACGAUAAGACCCUGUAGAAUUUGAAAAUGAAAUUUUUUGUUGGGGUGACUAAAAUGAACUUUAUUUUAUUUCAUUUAUAAAUGAUCAAGGAUCCUUAAUUUAGAUAAUAAGAUAAAAUUACCUUAGGGAUAACAGCAUAAUUUUUUUUAAAAGUUCUAAUUUAUAAAAAAGAUUAUGACCUCGAUGUUGAAUUAAUAAAUUUUGGUGAAGAAGCUAAUUUU